rnacentral:rRNA from 1 species
CAGUCGCCGCGGGAAUACAGAGGGUGCAAGCGUUAAUCGGAAUUACUGGGCGUAAAGCGCGCGUAGGUGGUUUGUUAAGUUGGAUGUGAAAGCCCCGGGCUCAACCUGGGAACUGCAUCCAAAACUGGCAAGCUAGAGUACGGUAGAGGGUGGUGGAAUUUCCUGUGUAGCGGUGAAAUGCGUAGAUAUAGGAAGGAACACCAGUGGCGAAGGCGACCACCUGGACUGAUACUGACACUGAGGUGCGAAAGCGUGGGGAGCAAACAGGAUUAGAUACCCCGGUAGUCCCUGUCUCUUAUAC